AACGCAACUUGCGCUCCUUGGUAUUCCGAGGAGCAUGCCUGUUUGAGUGUCAUUAAAAGUUCUCAACCACAUUAUCAAUGAUGUGGCUUGGAUGUGGGGGGUUUUUUUUUGCAGGCUUCUCAGCUUGAAGUCUGCUCCCCUGAAAUGCAUUAGUGGUGUCUGAGCUACUACUACUAGAUGUGAUAAUUAUCUACAUCGAAAAAUGUAUGCUGCAGCAGCCGCUUCAUAUUUAUGAAUUUGAUGAAUUUGACCUCAAAUCAGGUAGGACUACCCGCUGAACUUAA
rnacentral:misc_RNA from 1 species